rnacentral:rRNA from 1 species
GAUUAACGCUGGCGGCGUGCCUAACACAUGCAAGUCGAACGAGGUAGCAAUACCUAGUGGCAGACGGGUGAGUAACNCGUGGUCAACCUACCGUUGAGUGGGGGAGUAACUAGCCGAAAGGUUAGCUAAUACCGCAUACGUCUCCGAGGGGCAUCCCUUGGCGAUAAAAGGAGCAAUCCGCUCGAUGACGGGACCGCGUCCCAUUAGCUAGAUGGUGGGGUAACGGCCUACCAUGGCACCGAUGGGUAGCUGGUUUGAGAGAGCGACCAGCCACACUGGGACUGAGAAACGGCCCAGACUCCUACGGGAGGCAGCAGUGAGGAAUUUUCCNCAAUGGGCGCAAGCCUGACGGAGC